CCUACGGGAGGCAGCAGUGAGGAAUAUUGGUCAAUGGGCGGAAGCCUGAACCAGCCAAGUAGCGUGCAGGAUGACGGCCCUACGGGUUGUAAACUGCUUUUAUACGGGAAUAACGCGCCUUACGUGUAGGGCUUUGCAUGUACCGUAUGAAUAAGGACCGGCUAAUUCCGUGCCAGCAGCCGCGGUAAUACGGAAGGUCCGGGCGUUAUCCGGAUUUAUUGGGUUUAAAGGGAGCGUAGGCCGCAUGUUAAGCGUGUUGUGAAACGUCCGGGCUCAACCCGGGACUUGCAAGGCGGACUGGCAGGCUUGAGUCCGCGUAAGGCAGGCGGAAUUCGUCGUGUAGCGGUGAAAUGCUUAGAUAUGACGAAGAACCCCGAUUGCGAAGGCAGCUUGCUGCAGCGGAACUGACGCUGAUGCUCGAAAGCGCGGGUAUCUAAUCCUGUUCGAUACCCCGGUAGUC
rnacentral:rRNA from 1 species